AACUGUAUCACAAUUAUGCAAACUAAGGGGGAAAGAGAGGCACCUUAGAAUGAAGGCUCUCCUUACUGUCGUAAGCGCUAGAGGGAUUCUUUGCUAGAAAAGUCUCCGUGUCAGGGCUGGGGUGAAGAGAGCUGAGGGGCGCUUUGCCUUCCCUCACCGGUGCGUUUUACCUCUCGAGGCACCGUAAGUUUGAAGUCCUCCAAGUUGUGGUCGGCGCCAUCAUGACGCCGGCGACUAACACAUAUUGUUUAAUUGAGUCUACUUUACUACUUGGUUCACCUUUGCCUUAUGAGUUCCUUAGAAGGAGAAAACACUCUGUAUUUUUGAACAGAUGCUUCAUUAUGGGAGGUGUUCAAUAGCUCACUGUGAUUGUUGAGAAGUCAACACAGGGACAAGGAAAUCUCAGAUGGUUGUCUACAGUUACAAGGGGGAUUUUUGGACUGAUUUGUGAUUUUUCUGGGAAUGCAACUCAAGUUAGAAGAGGCCAUUAUCUGAAAGAAGAAGAAGCACCAGCUGAUGUGUUGGUUAUUUUAGGGCGACAUUUGCAGUUGCUUGGGCAAUAUCAUGAGCCUCACCUCAUGCAGGUCUGGGUCCCAGACCCAAAGACUGCUCCUCCAUACUCAGAGAUACCAGCACUAACAGAGCAGCUCCUCUUCUUCAGUACAGAUGCUUCUCAACUUACAAUGAGGUUAUACCCUUAUAAACACAUGUAUCUCAUGGACCUAGUCACAUGAAACUGGGUAAAAUUUGUUCAUGUAGAAAUGAAUAAAUGUAAUCCGUCCUAAUUACAAUAAUUCGUAAACAAGGAGAGGAAUGCAAAAGGAUAAUUUCAAUGUUUUUGAAUUUGAUAUAAGGUCUACUGCGUUGCAGAUGGCAAGAUUUCCUAUGAUUGACUUAGGCAGGGUGUGAAUAGCACUGCAAAGCAGGAGAGAGAAGUUGAGCUUUCAAAGUGACAGUCUGGUUACAGACUGAUUGAAGACGUGUAUGUCCAAGCAUGUACAUAAUGGGCUUGGGGAAAGAAAAGGAAUGAGAAUGGAAAAAGGAACACAGCGCUUGUGUUCAUAUUGAUUUCUUUCUUUUUAUGUGCAUUAUUGCCAAAGCAUGAGAAAAAACCUAUAAUUCAGGUAAUCUGGCUCUAUCUUAAUGUGAGAAAUAAAAUAAAAUUUGUGUCAAUAGGUAUGGGAUUGCAAAUUUAAGUCUAAUGAAUAUAUAUUUAAAUAAGCCCAGGAAAAAAUGCUCAAGAUCACUAAUCAUUAAGACAAUUCAAAUUGAAUUCACACUUAGACUUCACGACAUACCUGUUAGAAUAGAGAAAACCGCCGGGCACGGUGGCUUACGCCUGGCCUGUAAUCCCAACACUUUGAGAAGCCAAGGCGGGUGGAUCACUUGACGUCAGGAGUUCGAGGCCAGCCUGACCAACAUGGUGAAACCCCGUCU
ensembl:lncRNA LINC02796 long intergenic non-protein coding RNA 2796